UACAGAGGGUGCAAGCGUUAAUCGGAAUUACUGGGCGUAAAGCGUGCGUAGUCGGUUAUUUAAGUCGGGCGUGAAAGCCCCGGGCUCAACCUGGGAAUUGCGUUCGAUACUGGAUAGCUAGAGUUCGGCAGAGGGAAGCGGAAUUUCCGGUGUAGCGGUGAAAUGCGUAGAUAUCGGAAGGAACAUCAGUGGCGAAAGCGGCUUCCUGGACCAGUACCGACGUUCAGGCACGAAAGCGUGGGGAGCAAACAGG
rnacentral:rRNA from 1 species